rnacentral:tRNA from 1 species
AGGAAAUUAGGUUAACAAGACCAAGAGCCUUCAAAUCUCUAAGUAAANAUACUAUUUAUUUCCUG